rnacentral:rRNA from 1 species
AAGCUUGCUUGUUGGGGUUGUAGGACACUCUAUACGGAGUUACAAAGGACGACAUUAGACGAAUCAUCUGGAAAGAUGAAUCAAAGAAGGUAAUAAUCCUGUAGUCGAAAAUGUUGUCUCUCUUGAGUGGAUCCUGAGUACGACGGAGCACGUGAAAUUCCGUCGGAAUCUGGGAGGACCAUCUCCUAAGGCUAAAUACUCUCUAGUGACCGAUAGUGAACCAGUACCGUGAGGGAAAGGUGAAAAGCACCCCGGAAGGGGAGUGAAAUAGAACCUGAAACCGUGUGCUUACAAGUAGUCAGAGCCCGUUAAUGGGUGAUGGCGUGCCUUUUGUAGAAUGAACCGGCGAGUUACGAUUUGAUGCAAGGUUAAGCAGUAAAUGUGGAGCCGUAGCGAAAGCGAGUCUGAAUAGGGCGUUUAGUAUUUGGUCGUAGACCCGAAACCAGGUGAUCUACCCUUGGUCAGGUUGAAGUUCAGGUAACACUGAAUGGAGGACCGAACCGACUUACGUUGAAAAGUGAGCGGAUGAACUGAGGGUAGCGGAGAAAUUCCAAUCGAACCUGGAGAUAGCUGGUUCUCUCCGAAAUAGCUUUAGGGCUAGCCUCAAGUGAUGAUUAUUGGAGGUAGAGCACUGUUUGGACGAGGGGCCCCUCUCGGGUUACCGAAUUCAGACAAACUCCGAAUGCCAAUUAAUUUAACUUGGGAGUCAGAACAUGGGUGAUAAGGUCCGUGUUCGAAAGGGAAACAGCCCAGACCACCAGCUAAGGUCCCAAAAUAUAUGUUAAGUGGAAAAGGAUGUGGCGUUGCCCAGACAACUAGGAUGUUGGCUUAGAAGCAGCCAUCAUUUAAAGAGUGCGUAAUAGCUCACUAGUCGAGUGACACUGCGCCGAAAAUGUACCGGGGCUAAACAUAUUACCGAAGCUGUGGAUUGUCCUUUGGACAAUGGUAGGAGAGCGUUCUAAGGGCGUUGAAGCAUGAUCGUAAGGACAUGUGGAGCGCUUAGAAGUGAGAAUGCCGGUGUGAGUAGCGAAAGACGGGUGAGAAUCCCGUCCACCGAUUGACUAAGGUUUCCAGAGGAAGGCUCGUCCGCUCUGGGUUAGUCGGGUCCUAAGCUGAGGCCGACAGGCGUAGGCGAUGGAUAACAGGUUGAUAUUCCUGUACCACCUAUAAUCGUUUUAAUCGAUGGGGGGACGCAGUAGGAUAGGCGAAGCGUGCGAUUGGAUUGCACGUCUAAGCAGUAAGGCUGAGUAUUAGGCAAAUCCGGUACUCGUUAAGGCUGAGCUGUGAUGGGGAGAAGACAUUGUGUCUUCGAGUCGUUGAUUUCACACUGCCGAGAAAAGCCUCUAGAUAGAAAAUAGGUGCCCGUACCGCAAACCGACAC